UGGUUCGGGUCCACGGGC
rnacentral:snRNA from 1 species